GUCAAGAGAUAUGUAGUUUCUGUUGAACAGCGACAAUGAUAAGACGUCACUGAGAUCUCGAGACGUGUGAUAUCUUGCAAAGCCAAUGGGAGGAUCUUUUACAAAUCGCUGAUGACGUGUUUCGGGAAACUCUCGUCAUGGCAGCUCCUGAUUGGCUGAGAACUUCAAAGAACAGGAGUCAAGAGUCAAGAGACCUCAAGGAGAUAUUUAGUUUCUGUUGAGCAGCGACAAUGAUAAGACGUCACUGACGUCUUGCAUAGGUGCACAUCGACCACGGGGGUACUGAACCCCCUAAAAGAUACAUCUCUAUGAGAGCUCUCUCGAACCAUCUUGCCCCACACUUUGAACACGAAGCUCUAAGACUGGAUCCAUCGAGAAUUAGGCCAGAAAGAUGCACCGCCAUUAUCGAAGGCUUUGAUCUUGCGAAGACAAGAGGAACCAUCUACGAACAGGUAAAUGGAAGAUCUAAGCAGGCUCUCCAAGCAUUGGGCAAGUACUUUCAAACAAGCAGGAGGGUGCGUUACUCUGUGCUUCUUGAGUUGAAUGGCUGACCGAUGAAAAAAUAAAGCAACGUUCUAUACUGCAGACGCUUCGGGAACCAUCCUUCGAAAAAUCCAAAUUUGUCAUUUGGGUGACAAAUGAAGUCUUCAAGUUUUGCUCCCAUUACCAGUCAUCAGCUGGUUUUGAUUGAAAUUGGUGGGGGCCUCUGAAUGUGCCAAUAUUAUUUCAGUAACUGUAAUCAACUUGUCCGAAGAGAUAAAUUAGGGAAAUUGUAGUCAUAUUAGGACAGUUAUCAUGAAUGUUGGCACUCAUUUU